UCCCUGGUGGCUCAGAGGUUAAAGCGUCUGCCUGCAAUGCGGAAGACCUGGGUUUGAUUCCUGGGUUGGGAA
rnacentral:tRNA from 1 species